CGGGCCUGGGCACGUCCCACAGAGGAGAGAGGACGGGGCCUCCCCUGGGCUCAGACGUCCAGGACGGGCUCCCACCCCCAGCUGCCUCUGAUCCCUUCCGGAGGGAGAGCUGGCCGGGCAACGGGGCUCCAGAACCCACCUCCUGCGUGUGUCUCAGGGCGGCUUUGCAGCAGCGGGAGAGAUUUAGGAUCGGGAAAAAGGGAAGAUUCACAGCGGAGCUUCAACGCAAUCAACAGAAGCGUCCUGGGUGGGGUGAACAGCAGCUCCCAACCCCGCGUGGCUGAAUCACAGUAGCACUGCCCAUCAUGACCGAGAGCUGUGAUGCGUCCACGCCGUCUUCACAGGACUGCGUCGUCCCCCUCACGAGGCAAUCAUGUCAAUACGACAGUCAUCUGCAUUUUACAGGUGUGAAACAGACCAGGGCUUUCAGCCCUUCGUCGGCUGCGUGUGCCUGACGCACGCGGCCAAGGGCGCAGCACACACGCUCCUGGGGGCGGACGCGGACUCUGACCGGCCCAGAAAGGGUCCCUGGGGAGUG